rnacentral:rRNA from 1 species
AUUGAACGCUGGCGGCAGGCCUAACACAUGCAAGUCGGGCGGUAGCACAGGAGAGCUUGCUCUCCGGGUGACGAGCGGCGGACGGGUGAGUAAUGUCUGGGAAACUGCCUGAUGGAGGGGGAUAACUACUGGAAACGGUAGCUAAUACCGCAUAACGUCGCAAGACCAAAGAGGGGGACCUUCGGGCCUCUUGCCAUCGGAUGUGCCCAGAUGGGAGUAGCUAGUAGGUGAGGUAAAGGCUCACCUAGGCGACGAUCCCUAGCUGGUCUGAGAGGAUGACCAGCCACACUGGAACUGAGACACGGUCCAGACUCCUACGGGAGGCAGCAGUGGGGAAUAUUGCACAAUGGGCGCAAGCCUGAUGCAGCCAUGCCGCGUGUAUGAAGAAGGCCUUCGGGUUGUAAAGUACUUUCAGCGGGGAGGAAGGUGUUGUGGUUAAUAACCACAGCAAUUGACGUUACCCGCAGAAGAAGCACCGGCUAACUCCGUGCCAGCCGCCGCCGUAA